rnacentral:rRNA from 1 species
GACGAACGCUGGCGGCGUGCUUAACACAUGCAAGUCGAACGGAAAGGCCCUGCUUUUGUGGGGUGCUCGAGUGGCGAACGGGUGAGUAACACGUGAGUAACCUGCCCUUGACUUUGGGAUAACUUCAGGAAACUGGGGCUAAUACCGGAUAGGAGCUCCUGCUGCAUGGUGGGGGUUGGAAAGUUUCGGCGGUUGGGGAUGGACUCGCGGCUUAUCAGCUUGUUGGUGGGGUAGUGGCUUACCAAGGCUUUGACGGGUAGCCGGCCUGAGAGGGUGACCGGCCACAUUGGGACUGAGAUACGGCCCAGACUCCUACGGGAGGCAGCAGUGGGGAAUAUUGCACAAUGGGCGGAAGCCUGAUGCAGAAACGCCGCGUGCGGGAUGACGGCCUUCGGGUUGUAAACCGCUUUCGCCUGUGACGAAGAGUGAGUGACGGUAAUGGGUAAAGAAGCACCGGCUAACUACGUG